rnacentral:snRNA from 1 species
GUGCUCACAUCAGCAGCACAUAUACUAAAAUUGUAAUGGUACAGAGAAGAUUAGACUUUGCCCUUUGUAUGUAUUCAUGUGUAUGAAAUCAUAUUUUA